GACGAACCGUGCAAACGUUGUUCGGAAUCACUGGGCUUAAAGGGCGCGUAGGCGGGCAGGCAAGUCGAAGGUGAAAUCCCACGGCUCAACCGUGGAAGUGCCCCCGAUACUGCCUGUCUCGAGGGAGAUAGGGGCGUGCGGAACUUCCGGUGGAGCAGUGAAAUGCGUAGAGAUCAUGAGGAAGACCAGUGGCGAAGGCGGGUCUCUGGACAGUUCCUGACACUGAGGCACGAAGGCCAGGGGAGCAAACGGG
rnacentral:rRNA from 1 species